rnacentral:rRNA from 1 species
GAUGAACGCUGGCGGCGUGCUUAACACAUGCAAGUCGAACGAAGCACUUUAUUUGAUUUUCUUCGGGAAUGAAGAUUCUGUGACUGAGUGGCGGACGGGUGAGUAACGCGUGGAUAACCUGCCUCAUACAGGGGGAUAACAGCCGGAAACGGCUGCUAAUACCGCAUAAGCGCACGGUACCGCAUGGUACAGUGUGAAAAACUCCGGUGGUAUGGGAUGGAUCCGCGUCUGAUUAGCCAGUUGGCGGGGUAACGGCCCACCAAAGCGACGAUCAGUAGCCGACCUGAGAGGGUGACCGGCCACAUUGGGACUGAGACACGGCCCAAACUCCUACGGGAGGCAGCAGUGGGGAAUAUUGCACAAUGGGGGAAACCCUGAUGCAGCGACGCCGCGUGAGCGAAGAAGUAUUUCGGUAUGUAAAGCUCUAUCAGCAGGGAAGAAGAAAUGACGGUACCUGACUAAGAAGCCCCGGCUAAACUACGUGCCAGCAGCCG